CCAUAUGUAUUUCCACAAUAAUAAACCUAUUGGUUCAUCGUGUCACUAUGUGUAUGCAUUGAAGCCAUUGGAAUGCUUACUCUUAAUGAUUUGCUAGGUGACUCUCUGUUCCCAUUGUGCUAAGACGCGUGGAAUGAAUAAUAAUAGUUCGAUUAUUCAGGCAACGAUUUCUUUACAACUGAAAAUAGCCACGGCACACAUUAAGCACUAGUCUACCUGAACUACUCCACGAGCCACGACUAGCUCAUCUGCCUCGUCGUCCUCCGCCUCCUCGUCCUCGUAUGCACCCAUCCGGCCCGUCGCCGUCAAACGCAAUCCAAGCGAAGAUGAUUGAUCCUGUCAAGGCGAUGAAGGAAAAGCAAAUAUCCGGCCACCCCCUGUAUAUAUAUGGUCGUCAGUAUACGCGCUCAACCGGCGACAAAGUAAUCAUCCAAGAAAGAACCGAGCAUAGUGAUCAAGAACUCACCCGUCGGCGCCGCCCUGCGGCCCGUUGGUGAACAUCGUCCGCUGCAGAAUAGUUAAACCGGACGAGGGAUUCAGAUCGAGAUUUAAUUUACUUUUACACCGCUGAAAAAAGAGACCAACAGACGAAGGUGCACUAGCUUACAUACCGCCCCGGAGGCAGAGUUGGCGGGCGCGGCG
rnacentral:lncRNA from 1 species